UGGGGAAUAUUGGACAAUGGGCGCAAGCCUGAUCCAGCCAUGCCGCGUGGGUGAUGAAGGCCCUAGGGUUGUAAAGCCCUUUCGGCGGGGAAGAUAAUGACGGUACCCGCAGAAGAAGCCCCGGCUAACUUCGUGCCAGCAGCCGCGGUAAUACGAAGGGGGCUAGCGUUGCUCGGAAUCACUGGGCGUAAAGCGCACGUAGGCGGCUUCUUAAGUCAGGGGUGAAAUCCUGGAGCUCAACUCCAGAACUGCCUUUGAUACUGAGGAGCUCGAGUCCGGAAGAGGUGAGUGGAACUGCGAGUGUAGAGGUGAAAUUCGUAGAUAUUCGCAAGAACACCAGUGGCGAAGGCGGCUCACUGGUCCGGUACUGACGCUGAGGUGCGAAAGCGUGGGGAGCAAACA
rnacentral:rRNA from 1 species